rnacentral:tRNA from 1 species
GCGUUGAUGGUGUGAUGGUUAGCAUUGCUGCCUUCCAAGCAGUAGAUCUGGGUUCGAUUCCCGGUCGACGCA